ACACCUCAACUCCUCAUGGUUUGCCAUGAUGAGCUUGGACUUUGGGGGUCUUGCUGGCCUAUGGUCAGCUCCUCUAAAAUGGAUCAGCUUGCCAGUGUUUGGUGGCAUCACAGGUGUGAUAAAUAUCUACACUCGUGGUUUUCCACCAUGUAACCUUCAGCAAUGAAGGUUCGCUGGAGCUCACAAAUGUCCCUCCUCUGUGGGGACAGCUUUUGAAC
rnacentral:misc_RNA from 2 species